rnacentral:lncRNA from 1 species
AUAAGUAAAAAAUGCCACACGUGAUGGUCUAUCCGUAAUAAUGAUAUCCGUAUCUCGUUAUUACUUACGACCACAGACGAUUUAAGAUUCAAUCAGAUGUAAUUUGUAUCUCACAAUCACAACUCCUUGUAAUUAACAAAUUACGAUGAUUUGAAUCUAUGAACUCUAUUAUUUAUUUAAUUGUCUAUUAAUUAAAUAAUAGAUCUAUCAUUAAAUUGCAUUAAUUAUAUAUCAAAAGUAUUUAUAUCUAAAGUUGAUUGGACUUAGGGCAUAAUACU